ensembl:snRNA U6 U6 spliceosomal RNA
UUGCUUCAGUAGCAAAUAUACUAAAAUUGGAAUGAUACAGCGAUUAGCAUGGCCCCUGUGCAAGGAAGACACGCAAAUUUGUGAAGCAUUCCAUAUUUUU